rnacentral:rRNA from 1 species
UUGAUCUGCUCAAUGAUUAAAUUAAAUAGCUGCAGUAUUUUAACUGUACAAAGGUAGCAUAAUCAUUUGUCUUUUUAUUAAAGUCUGGAAUGAAUGAUUUAAUGAAAAAAUUUCUGUCUCAAUUUAAUUAAUAAAAUUUUAUUUUAAGUUAAAAUUCUUAAAAUUUAUUUAAAGACGAGAAGACCCUAUAGAAUUUUAUAAAAUUUUUUAUUUUUAUUUUAUAAAUUAAUAUAAUUAAAUUUAAUUUUAUUUUAUUGGGGUAAUAAAAAAAUUUAAAUAAAUUUUUUUAAUUAAUUUCAUUUAUUAAUGUAAAUAGUAAUUAUCCAAAAUUUUUGAAAUAAAAAUUAAUUACCUUAGGGAUAACAGCGUUAUUUUUUUAGAAAGUUCAUAUUGAUAAAAAAGUUUGCGACCUCGAUGUUGAAUUAAGAUAAAAUUUUAAUGUAGAAAUUAAAAAU